AUAUUGUUCUGUCUCCACAUGAGGCAAGAUUUCCAAUUAGUAAUACAACACAAUAGAAUUAACUGCGCCGGUAAAUCACAGAUUCAAUCUGCGUUCAGUUUGACCUUUCAGCUUCUGAGGGACAGUCACGACGAUGAGGCGGUAACUGCUGCAGACAUAAACCGCAGCGCUGAUCUCCGUCAGCCCUUUAAGGUGCUGCUGGAGGACAGGAGAGACACAGAGCUGCUGGAGGACAGGAGGGACACAGCUGCUGGAGGACAGGAGGGACACAGAGCUGCUGGAGGACAGGAGGGGGACACAGAGCUGCUGGAGGACAGGAGAGACACAGAGCUGCUGGAGGACAGGAGGGACACAGAGCUGCUGGAGGACAGGAGGGACACAGAGCUGCUGGAGGACAGGAGAGACACAGAGCUGCUGGAGGACAGGAGGGGGACAUAGAGCUGCUGGAGGACAGGAGGGGGACACAGAGCUGCUGGAGGACAGGAGGGACACAGAGCUGCUGGAGGACAGGAGGGACACAGAGCUGCUGGAGGACAGGAGGGACACAGAGCUGCUGGAGGACAGGAGGGACACAGAGCUGCUGGAGGACAGGAGGGACACAGAGCUGCUGGAGGGCAGGAGGGACACAGAGCUGCUGGAGGGCAGGAGGGACACAGAGCUGCUAGAGGACAGGAGGGACACAGAGCUGCUGGAGGGCAGGAGGGACACAGAGCUGCUAGAGGACAGGAGGGACACAGAGCUGCUGGAGGACAGGAGGGACACAGAGCUGCUGGAGGACAGGAGGGACACAGAGCUGCUGGAGGACAGGAGGGACACAGAGCUGCUGGAGGACAGGAGGGACACAGAGCUGCUGGAGGACAGGAGGGACACAGAGCUGCUGGAGGACAGGAGGGACACAGAGCUGCUUCUCAUCUUUCUGCUUCACAGUAGAAGCUUCAGCACACCGGAAGCAAAGGGAGUCAGAAUAAAGCCUGUGAGGAUGGAGACACACACCACUGCGAGCAGCUCCUCGCUGCUGCAGGGCCACAUCUGUUCAUCAAUAACAAUGUUCUCGAUGUACUCAGUAAUGUUCAGUGAUGUGAGCCCGGGCGUUACGCCUUUAUAAUCCACAUCACACCGGAGAGCGUUGCAGCGGUUGUGGAGGAGAUGAUAGUAGUUAGAUUGCGGUAUGUUCAGCCACUCUUGUCUUUCAUCUCCCGUUGUUAGCAACUUAAUGAUCCUCCGCUCUCAUCAAGGAGAGAGAAGAUGGGGAGGACAUGAGUCAGCGUGGGCUCUCAAGUCCCCUUUCAAAUGACUUCUCGGGGGGUUUAAAAGGCAAUAACUAGUUCAAUAAACAACUGUUGAGUCCAAC
rnacentral:lncRNA from 1 species